UUACGGCCAUAUCGCGUUGAAACACCGGUUCUCACAAGAUCACUCAAGUUAAGCAACUUCGAGUCUGGUCAGUACCUAUUUGGGUGACCGCUUGAGAAUACCAGGUGAUGUAAG